UUUAGAGGAAGUAAAAGUCGUAACAAGGUUUCCGUAGGUGAACCUGCGGAAGGAUCAUUAUUGAAUAAACCUGAUGGGUUGUUGCUGGCUCUCUUGGGAGCAUGUGCACACCUUGUCAUCUUUAUAUUUCCACCUGUGCACCUUUUGUAGACCUCCCCAGGUCUAUGUUGCUUCAUUUACCCCCAAUGUAUGUUAAUAGAAUGUUGUGUCUAUAAAAUCUAUACAACUUUCAGCAACGGAUCUCUUGGCUCUCGCAUCGAUGAAGAACGCAGCGAAAUGCGAUAAGUAAUGUGAAUUGCAGAAUUCAGUGAAUCAUCGAAUCUUUGAACGCACCUUGCGCUCCUUGGUAUUCCGAGGAGCAUGCCUGUUUGAGUGUCAUUAAUAUAUAUCAACCCACUCUUGUUGAGUGGUUUGGAUGUGGAGGGUUUUGCUGGCUGCUUAAAAGGUGCCAGCUCCUCUGAAAUGCAUUAGUGGAACAACCUGUCCAUUCAUUGGUGUGAUAACUAUCUACGCUGUUGAAUGUGAGGCAGUUCAGCUAUCUAACAGUCCUUGGACAAACUUAUCAUUUAAUGUGACCUCAAAUCAGGUAGGACUACCCGCUGAACUUAAGCAUAUCAAUAAGCGGAGGAAAAGAAACUAACAAGGAUUCCCCUAGUAACUGCGAGUGAAGCGGGAAAAGCUCAAAUUUAAAAUCUGGCGGUCUUUUGGCUGUCCGAGUUGUAAUCUAGAGAAGUGUUAUCCGCG
rnacentral:rRNA from 1 species